rnacentral:rRNA from 1 species
CCUACGGGUGGCAGCAGUGGGGAAUAUUGCACAAUGGGGGAAACCCUGAUGCAGCGACGCCGCGUGAAGGAAGAAGUAUUUCGGUAUGUAAACUUCUAUCAGCAGGGAAGAAAAUGACGGUACCUGACUAAGAAGCCCCGGCUAACUACGUGCCAGCAGCCGCGGUAAUACGUAGGGGGCAAGCGUUAUCCGGAUUUACUGGGUGUAAAGGGCGCGUAGGCGGUUUAGCAAGUCAGAAGUGAAAGCCCGGGGCUCAACUCCGGGACUGCUUUUGAAACUGUUGAACUAGAUUGCAGGAGAGGUAAGUGGAAUUCCUAGUGUAGCGGUGAAAUGCGUAGAUAUUAGGAGGAACACCAGUGGCGAAGGCGGCUUGCUGGACUGUAAAUGACGCUGAGGCUCGAAAGCGUGGGGAGCAAACAGGAUUAGAUACCCCGGUAGUC